rnacentral:rRNA from 1 species
GACGAACGCUGGCGGCGUGCUUAACACAUGCAAGUCGAACGGAAAGGCCCUGCUUUUGUGGGGUGCUCGAGUGGCGAACGGGUGAGUAACACGUGAGUAACCUGCCCUUGACUUUGGGAUAACUUCAGGAAACUGGGGCUAAUACCGGAUAGGAGCUCCUGCUGCAUGGUGGGGGUUGGAAAGUUUCGGCGGUUGGGGAUGGACUCGCGGCUUAUCAGCUUGUUGGUGGGGUAGUGGCUUACCAAGGCUUUGACGGGUAGCCGGCCUGAGAGGGUGACCGGCCACAUGGGGACUGAGAUACGGCCCAGACUCCUACGGGAGGCAGCAGUGGGGAAUAUUGCACAAUGGGCGGAAGCCGGAUGCAGCAACGCCGCGUGCGGGAUGACGGCCUUCGGGUUGUAAACCGUUUUCGCCUGUGACGAAGCGUGAGUGACGGUAAUGGGUAAAGAAGCACCGGCUAACUACGUG